rnacentral:rRNA from 1 species
AGCAGCCGCGGUAAUUCCAGCUCCAAUAGCGUAUAUUAAAGUUGUUGCAGUUAAAAGCUGUAGUUGAAUUUUCGGGUAAGUCAGUGCGUCGUCGGUCAUUCGGUAACGUGACUGUCGUUAGUUCCGAUCCCUCCUUUCUGAAAGAACCGUGAUGUCGCAAUUAAUUUUGGGUGUUAGGGGAAUCAGGACUGUUACUUGAAAAAAUUAGAGUGUUAAAGCAGGCUACGCUUGAAUACUUA